rnacentral:snoRNA from 1 species
AACCCAUGAUGAAGACACUUUCUCAAAAGAUCCUUAUACCUCUCCCAUGCAUCAUAUAAUGCCUCCAACUCAAUUUGAGAAAAAAAGAAGAUAUUUCAUUCCUCAAUU